rnacentral:rRNA from 1 species
GUGACGGUACCAGUAGAAGAAGCACCGGCUAACUACGUGCCAGCAGCCGCGGUAAGACGUAGGGGGCCAGCGUUGUUCGGAAUUACUGGGUGUAAAGGGUUCGUAGGCGGUGUGGCAAGUUGGGAGUGAAAUCUCUGGGCUCAACCCAGAGGCUGCUUCCAAAACUGUUGUGCUUGAGUGUGGGAGAGGCGCGUGGAAUUGCAGGUGUAGCGGUGAAAUGCGUAGAUAUCUGCAGGAACACCCGUGGCGAAAGCGGCGCGCUGGACCACAACUGACGCUGAGGAACGAAAGCUAGGGGAGCAAACAGGAUUAGAUACCCUGGUAGUCCUAGCCCUAAACGAUCAGGACUUGGGGUGCCGCCCGUUCGGGCGUCGUCCCGGAGCUAACGCGUUAAGUCCUGCACCUGGGGAGUACGGUCGCAAGACUGAAACUCAAAGGAAUUGACG